UCAUGAGCUAGGGGCACUGGGCCUG
rnacentral:piRNA from 1 species